CGGGGUGUUUUCCUCAUCAUACCCCUUUAAAAAGCAAGGAGUGCCCUCUUAACUCCCCUUAAGAAUAGUGGAAUUACCUCCACACCCUUGAAUUCCUUAUUGAUUUACCGCCCUGCCAUUCCCUCCUUCAUCCCUGCUUCCCUUCUCCCACUUCCCUGCUUCAGUGCUUCCCUUCUUCUCUCUUUCACCCCUCAACAAACCCUAACUCUACUCAUCGCCCCAUUUUCUCUCACCUUCUCACUCCUUCUCUAAGAAUGCUUCCCAUCUCCUCUCUGCUACACUGCUCUCUCUCUCUCUUCUGUUCAGGGCUACAUCGCGGCAAGAACGUCUCCAAGUUGCAGAUGAAGGUUAAAUAUGUAAUGCCAUUGUUAUUUUCUACUGGUAUUCGCGUAGAAGUUUGAAGAAAGGGUAUGCAAAGAUGCCGUCGUAUGAGAGUGUGAUGACAGACUUUUUCUGGAAUAUUGUUGCCAAUAAUGAGAGAAGAGAAGUGGCAGAAAAUGAGGCAAGUGGAGAGAGGAAGUUAGUGGAUAACAUUGGUUCCUGAAGGUGUUCGUCAGUGAUGAAAAUGCAAGACUAAAUUUGUUACAAUAGGAGCACGGUUGAAAAUCGCACUUGGUUUGGUUAUCUCAAGCUAAUACUCGGUAUAAGGUUUCAACAUGUCAUUUAUUUAGAAAUUUGUUUGCAGUCAAGUUCUUGGUUCAUAGUAGUUUGCAGUUUAGCAACAUAUUAAUUUGUUUACAGAAACUGAUUUCAAUCACUGUCACUACUACCUAAACUGAAUAAUCUUGGUCUGUUGAAUCCAAUUUGACCUUUUAUAGAAGGUUUAGAUACAUUCAGUUUUAGUCUCUUAUGAAUUGGUAUGCUGAAUUUGCUUAUGUACCAUGUCUCUAUUUUAUACCACCUUGCUACUUUUAUAGUUUCUGUUGGCGAGCAACUUGAAUGACACUUAAAGUUUUGGAGGAGGCAUUCACAAUUUGAAGGUAGUGUAUGUUGAUGAAGAUGUUUUUGAUGACAUUUACUAUAGAUGUUUGUAAGAGUUGAUGACAAAUUUUUCUUAGAAUCAUUAAUAAGUGGAAUCAAUCUCAUCCUUUUGUUACAGCAGCUAAUGAAUUUCUGUUUGCUGGGACACGGUGUAUGAUUAGGAUUUCUUUCUAAUUUGCAGCUUGCCCUCUUUAUCCGUUAAAGUAAUCUGUUUUCUUACACACAAAAGGAAUUAUUUCUGAUCAGAUAGGUAUUCUUUGUGGUGUUUAAUGUCUAAGAACAUUUUUGGGGAAGAUUUAAGUUCAUCUUGUGUUGGAGUAUAUUGGAUUUUGUUCCUCUUCUCUUAGGUUUUAGGAGGUCUUAGGUUUUAGGAGGACCCAAGUUUUGGUGCAACGGUAAGAUUCACUAUUAAUAGAAGCAACUUGACAUCUUCUUAGUUCUCUAUUCCCGUAGAAUUUUUCUUAUUUUUAGUAUGCUUUACUGAAAUUGUCGUUGUCAUUCUAGAAACAGUAAGAGUUCAUGAUGUAUGAUGAUUUCAUAGUAGAAGUAUAUUUUAUUUUACAUUAACUCUGUAAUUUCAAGAAAAGAGAUGUGUUCUACAUUUAUGGAUGCCUUUAGAUAGCAUGAUAGUUUGAAUUACUUUGUGUGAGUGUUCCUGACUUCAUCUUUUCUGUGUCUCUUCUCUCUCUAUCAACGUUUCAGGUUGAAGUUGAACGAAUUUAUAUUGGUGAUGCUUGAACUUCGAGUUGAUAUAAAAAGCAAACGCAGCCGUGAAGAAUAUGCUUUGUACUGAACAUGUCGGUCGAGGUCAUGUCGGUCGAGGUAAGAUCGACAACAACCCUGCGCUCCAGUAGUCUCUCAAUUAAGCAAGUGGCAUUAGAAGAAGUGGCGUUAGAGGAUAAUGUAGAGGAGGCUUUGGAGGUUGCGGAGAAGUGUAAAUGCUUUGAGAAAUACCUCCCUUUUGUAUUUGUGCAAGCUCUGUUGUAGUAAUUAAUAUUGUGUAUGUGCGAAAGCUAAGUAGUACCAAAAUCAUGUACGACUUUUGCAAGCAACUAAUGUUUAUGUUGCGUGACUUUAGUAUGUAUACUGCAUUACUACCUUGUGUGAUGGGUUUUUUCAAAGGAACAUGCAACCCUUGUGAUUUUAUGUUCUUAAGAAAUACUCAUUACACGUUUUGGAUCAUUAUGACUUAUGUAUUAGGGAUUUCUAUGUCCUAAUGAAUUAAUUAACCAUGUUUCUUAUCAUCUA